rnacentral:rRNA from 1 species
UGUUCCUACGGGGCGCAGCAGUGGGGAAUAUUGCACAAUGGGGGAAACCCUGAUGCAGCGACGCCGCGUGAGUGAAGAAGUAUUUCGGUAUGUAAAGCUCUAUCAGCAGGGAAGAAAAUGACGGUACCUGACUAAGAAGCCCCGGCUAACUACGUGCCAGCAGCCGCGGUAAUACGUAGGUGGCAAGCGUUAUCCGGAUUUACUGGGUGUAAAGGGCGUGUAGGCGGGACUGCAAGUCAGAUGUGAAAAUUAUGGGCUCAACCCAUAACCUGCAUUUGAAACUGUAGUUCUUGAGUGAUGGAGAG